rnacentral:rRNA from 1 species
UACGGAGGGUGCGAGCGUUGUUCGGAAUUACUGGGCGUGAAGCGCGUGUAGGCGGCCGAUUAAGUCAGAGGUGAAAUCCCGGAGCUCAACUUCGGAACUGCCUUUGAUACUGGCAAUCUAGAGUCCGGAAGAGGUUAGUGGAAUUCCCAGUGUAGAGGUGAAAUUCGUAGAUAUUGGGAAGAACACCAGUGGCGAAGGCGGCUAACUGGUCCGGUACUGACGCUGAGGUGCGAAAGCGUGGGGAGCAAACAGGAUUAGAAACCCUGGUAGU